UUUUUUUUUUUUUUUUUCCUGUCUUUUUGCCUUUUCUAGGGCCACUCCCGAGGCAUAUGGAGGUUCCCAGGCUAGGGGUCCAAUCGGAGCUGUAGCCACCAGCCUACGCCAGAGCUACAGCAAUGUGGGAUCCGAGCCGCGUCUGCAACCUACACCAUAGCUCACGGCAAAGCCGGAUCCUUAACCCACUGAGCAAGGCCAGGGAUCGAACCUGCAACCUCACGGUUCCUAGUCGGAUUUGUUAACCACUGAGCCACGACGGGAACUCCUCUGCCCCUUCUUUGCUUACAUGAUUUUGACUUGUCACUUGACCUUCAUCAGAUUCUUAUUAUGUCACAUGGGAAUCAGCAUAUAAGCCUCAGAGAGUAUUGAGGUGACAUGAUGGGGAUGAAUGUACUUGGCUUAAUCAAGGAGGACAAAUCUAAGUCAGUGUCUUGGAAUAAAAGCAAAGCAGACCUGAGGGACCAAGCUCAUGAUGUAAGCAGGUGGGAAAGGAAGCGUCUCAAAGAGUCUGUCCUUUUGGGUGUUCCCAGCCUCAUUUCCCAGCUCUAAAAAGUCAUGGACCAUUCUUAUUGUUUAGUAAAUGUUCCGCAGCACCCCCUUGCAUCUAGGUUCCCAUAUUGCCAGGUCACUAAGUUUUUUUUUUCUUUUUGUCUUUUUAGGGCUGCACCCAUGGCCUAUGGAGGUUCCCAAGCUAGGAGUCUAAUCGGAGCUGUAGCUGCCAGCCUAUGCCACAGCCACAGCAAUGCUAGAUCCGAGCCACAUCUGCGACCUACUCUACAGUUCAUGGUAACGCCAGAUCCUUAACCCACUGAGCGAGGCCAGGGAUCGGACCCACCACCUCAAGUUUCCUCAUUGGAUUCGUUUCCGCUGUGCCACCAUGGGAAUUCCUGGGUCACUAAUUUUUUAAGCCAGGAGUAUGGUCUAGGAUAUGUACCAUCUUGUAGAUGAUAAAAAUCAGUACUUCAAGGACGUUUUCAGUGGGGCUCGGGAUGACUCUAUUUGAAACAGAACCUCACUAUGAUAGUAUUAGAUUCAGGUUCUAACACGCCGUGAAAAAUUGUCUAUAGAAAAUAUCCUAAAUUCUCUCAAGCAGAGGCUCUUCCUCCCCAAAGCUAGGGAUUUUCAUAAGCUAGAUUUAAAUGUAAUUCUUCCCUCCCAGUGUCUUUUCAUGUUAACUCACCAUCUGACAGGGAAGUUAGUAUAUAACCCAAAGCAUAUGUGGUAAGCUUGCUCCUCUCUGCCUAAAUAUGAGUUUAAUAAAAAAAAUAGCAGUUAAGCAUAUGUUAAAAAUGAAGCAGUGCAGUUGGGGGCAAAGACUAAAAGGCGACACAACUGUUUAUUAGUUGUGUUUUUCAUUUUCACCUACAGAGAAUUUUAAAACCUCCCCCCUCCCUCCCCAGAGUUUGGCCAGAUCUGCACAGUUAUGUGCUCUAUUUUGGUCUUUAUUUCCUACUGAUAAACACUAGACUGUCCGUGUUGAAGUCCACGUCUGCAGCAAUGAUUGUCAAUUACCAAAGUAAUGAAUUAGGAUCCUUUUAUGUGUCACUUGUCCAGGUUAAUAAUGUCAGGAGGUACAAUGCUUUACCUCAAGAGAAAGCUUUGGCAUUAUGUAGAGAAAUCAAUUAAAGAAAGUGUUAAGUGAUCUUGGCUUCUCGAUUGCAGUUGUCGAUUUGUGAGAUGGAAAUGCAGUCAGGACAAAUCAGAUGUUUCUGUUUCUCCUUGUUGUGAACAGUUUUAUUAAGACAGUCCAUCUGACUUGAAAGCAGUGAUUAAUCUUGACCUUCUAAGUGAAAAUUAAUUGGCCAAGUUCUCUUUUCUGUGUCAUAAGGAUGAAUCAACAUAGAGAUUUGUCUUUCAUCUUGGUCUACACCAAGCAAUAGUUGUGGAAGAAAAGGAUUGGGCCCAUAGGCUGCAUCUUUCAUUGUAGUGAAACAAGAGCUGCAAGCUUUCCCUUUUCAUGGCAGUGUGGAAGUCCACGUCCAAAAAUUUCCUGAUAGUAAAUUUUUGGUCUGUUUAUAAUGUCAUGGCAUAUCUGUUACCCAUCCUUCCAUCUGAAGGGACUCUUUUAUAGGGAAGGGAGUGACAGCAGGACAGAGAAUGGAAUAGAGAACACUGGGUUAAGGUUCUUUUUCCAAAGUGUUGGUAUAGAAAAGCUUUUAAGACUCAAAGUAAUGACUCAGUCAUGGUAUGUAAUAUUCUUUUGGAUUUGUACUCUUAACCUGCUCCUUAGAGUUGUUAUAGGAAGUGGUAGACAAGAUGUCCUUUUGAAGUCCGCUUUUUUUUUUGGCUGCUCCUUGGCAUAUGGAGUUCCCUGGCCAGGGCUCAGAUCCCAGCCACAGUCGUGACCUAAGCCUCAGCUCUGGCAAUGCCAGAUCCUUAACCCCACCACACCAGGCCAGGGAUCAAACCUGAGUCCCAGCGCUCCCGAAAAACUACCGAUCCCAU
rnacentral:lncRNA from 1 species